ensembl:lncRNA
UGUGUCUAUAAUUGCUUGUCUAUAAAUAAGCCUUUUCCCUGUAGGGUGGGAUUUAUGUCCUGCAGGUCUUUGAUUACUAUGGCAUGAAUGCAUCUUCCAAACUCUUCCUCUCUAGUCUUCAGUGUCUCACAAUGGGCUGGAUAUUUGGAGCGGAGCGCAUGUGUGAUGCAAUUGAAGACAUGACAGGAGUAUCCUUAAUUGGCGCCUUGGCCAAUUACAAGCCCCUGACAUUUAACCGAACCUACACAUACCCGGUGUGGGUGAAUGUGCUGG